UGCGUGGUUCCAUACUUCUGUACUUCCCAUAGUGUUUCAAUUUAUAUGGAAUGUAAAGAAGUAUGGAGCUACCUU
rnacentral:pre_miRNA from 13 species